ACGCUAAUACCGCAUACGUCCUACGGGAGAAAGCAGGGGACCUUCGGGCCUUGCGCUAUCAGAUGAGCCUAGGUCGGAUUAGCUAGUUGGUGAGGUAAUGGCUCACCAAGGCGACGAUCCGUAACUGGUCUGAGAGGAUGAUCAGUCACACUGGAACUGAGACACGGUCCAGACUCCUACGGGAGGCAGCAGUGGGGAAUAUUGGACAAUGGGCGAAAGCCUGAUCCAGCCAUGCCGCGUGUGUGAAGAAGGUCUUCGGAUUGUAAAGCACUUUAAGUUGGGAGGAAGGGUUGUAGAUUA
rnacentral:rRNA from 1 species